rnacentral:rRNA from 1 species
UACGUAGGGUGCGAGCGUUACUCGGGAAUUACUGGGCGUAAAGCGUGCGUAGGCGGUUUGUUAAGUCUGAUGUGAAAGCCCUGGGCUCAACCUGGGAAUGGCAUUGGAUACUGGCAACCUAGAAUGUGGUAGAGGGUGGCGGAAUUCCCGGUGUAGCAGUGAAAUGCGUAGAUAUCGGGAGGAACAUCCGUGGCGAAGGCGGCCAACCUGGACCAACAUUGGACGCUGAGGCACGAAAGCGUGGGGAGCAAACAGG